rnacentral:lncRNA from 1 species
GUGCGAUGUGGUGAGGAUAACGCCACCAAAAGCAAAGCAAGUCACUGAUGCUGCAAAGAAAGGUAGCACUAAUCAAAGAAGCGGAUUCGAGGCUCGAAGUUCCGGACGUCAAAACGGCGCUGAUUGUGUGGUUGCACCGUGCGAGAGGUGCCCCUUCGAGUCACAACAUUGACAGAGAAGGCCGAUUCUCUGGACUUAGUGGUGGGCUACACUGAUCUCGCCUGCAACAUCGACUGGUUUGACCAUUUAAGUGAAACAACUUAACGUCACGCACGGUGAUCGCGGCAGUGUCGACGCAGCUACUCCAGGGGUGACGACAUCAGCUGAGACAAGAAACGUGUUUCGUAUGAUGCGAAAAGUGCAGCGGUGCGGAUGAUCGCCACAUGCGGUGUGUUAAGCAACUCGAGAAAGCUUUGCUAGGUGCAAGUGUUACUGCGAGGCAGUGCCGAAAAUACAAAGGCAGCGCCGAAAAACACAGCUGGUUGACAGCUCUGAAACAGCAGUCCUGCCUCUCUUCAAUAUCUGAAGAGCACAUUAUGCUAUCAAGAAAAUGCUCACUGCUGAAACAGCACCACACGUUAACAGCAAGCGGAAGAGUAAGGUAUCUGCAGUUCAAGCAGUGCAAAGGUGUUCCUUCUAGAUCGGAUGGAGCUUGGAAGUAUUUCAAGACGUUGUAGCUCAGGCGCCCAUGGGCCAAAGGGCCUUCAUUGUUGCAAAAGAUGUGUCGCCGGCAGACGCUGCUGUGCAAGGUGCUGCUUCUAUUGUUCUUGUGCCAGCUGUCACCCAUCACGCCGGCACCACUACGACUGGUUUUGCCACAAGCGUCUUGGUGUCGUGAUGUCGCAGAGAAUUGUUGUGUGACCACAUCGUCAGCAAAGUAUGAAGCAUCAUCAUUUCCACCGCAUCCCGUCUCGCAAUUCUGGAUGGUACAGCGUUCUCCAUUCAGCAAGAUGGAACAGUCAGUGAACAAAUCUGCGCAAUACUGUUGCAUUGUGGAAAUCAUACAGGUACCAUGGGUGUUAAGAAGUUUUGAUAUUCCUUCUAUGUAAUAUAAAUUCGAGAUUUAAAGAUAAUUAAAUGAAAUAAAGCUUCUCUGACAAUUUUUAUUUACACAA